GCUGGGCAUGGUGGCGUGUGCCUGUAGUCCCAGCUACUUGGGAGGCUGUGGUGGGAGGAUCACUUGAGCCCAGGAGGUCGAGGCUGCAUUGAGCUGAGAUCAUGCCACUGCACUCCAGCCUGGGUGACAGAGUGAGACUCCAUCUCAA
ensembl:misc_RNA Metazoa_SRP Metazoan signal recognition particle RNA